rnacentral:tRNA from 1 species
GUGGUAUAAAUGGUUAAUGUGCUCGGCUGUUAACCAAAAAGUUGGUGGUUCAAGUCCACCC